GUACACUCCUGCGGGAGGCAGCAGUGGGGAAUAUUGGACAAUGGGCGCAAGCCUGAUCCAGCCAUGCCGCGUGAGUGAUGAAGGCCCUAGGGUUGUAAAGCUCUUUCACCGGUGAAGAUAAUGACGGUAACCGGAGAAGAAGCCCCGGCUAACUUCGUGCCAGCAGCCGCGGUAAUACGAAGGGGGCUAGCGUUGUUCGGAUUUACUGGGCGUAAAGCGCACGUAGGCGGACUAUUAAGUCAGGGGUGAAAUCCCGGGGCUCAACCCCGGAACUGCCUUUGAUACUGGUAGUCUUGAGUUCGAGAGAGGUGAGUGGAAUUCCGAGUGUAGAGGUGAAAUUCGUAGAUAUUCGGAGGAACACCAGUGGCGAAGGCGGCUCACUGGCUCGAUACUGACGCUGAGGUGCGAAAGCGUGGGGAGCAAACAGGAUUAGAAACCCGUGUAGUCCCAUG
rnacentral:rRNA from 1 species